CCUAUGGGCGGCAGCAGUGGGGAAUAUUGGACAAUGGGAGAAAGCCUGAUCCAGCCAUGCCGCGUGUGUGAAGAAGGCCUUCGGGUUGUAAAGCACUUUCAGUGGGGAAGAAAGCCUUGGGGCUAAUACCCUCGAGGAAGGACAUCACCCACAGAAGAAGCACCGGCUAACUCCGUGCCAGCAGCCGCGGUAAUACGGAGGGUGCGAGCGUUAAUCGGAAUUACUGGGCGUAAAGCGCGCGUAGGCGGUCUGAUAAGCCGGUUGUGAAAGCCCCGGGCUCAACCUGGGAACGGCAUCCGGAACUGUCAGGCUAGAGUGCAGGAGAGGAAGGUAGAAUUCCCGGUGUAGCGGUGAAAUGCGUAGAGAUCGGGAGGAAUACCAGUGGCGAAGGCGGCCUUCUGGACUGACACUGACGCUGAGGUGCGAAAGCGUGGGUAGCAAACAGGAUUAGAUACCCUAGUAGUC
rnacentral:rRNA from 1 species